GCUGGGCGUGGUGGCGCAUGCCUGUAAUCCCAGCUACUCAGGAGGCUGAGGCAGGAGAAUCACCUGAGCCUGGGAGGCAGAGGUUGCAGUGAGCUGAGAUCGAGCCACUGAACUCCAGCCUGGGUGACAGAGUGAGACUCCGUCUCAG
ensembl:misc_RNA Metazoa_SRP Metazoan signal recognition particle RNA